rnacentral:lncRNA from 1 species
AUUCUGUCAAGUCCGUGUGAUCGAUCAUUUGGGUUAGCCCUUUUGAAGUUGGUUUGCACGUAUGUUUUGGAGAAAUUAGUAAUAAAGACAGUCAGAGAGUGAAUCACUUGGGCUAUUUGUGAAGACAUUCAUGUCUCAGCUGAUAAGAGGUUUUCCCUGGUAAGACCUAAUUUUUAUAAGUUUUGUUGGUAACCAUAUUUUUUCAUUCCCUCUAGAUACAUAAACAUAACCAUGUCUUCAUCUUAAAACCACUGCAGGAUUCCACCAUAAAGAUGUUAGCACAUCUUUAUAGUAUAUUGUUUGGCCUAGUUCCUCAGUUUUUUGUUUUGUUUUGUUUUUGGUAACCCAGUGUCUCUCAGCUGCUGUUGUUCUUUUUUUUUUUUUUUUUAACCAACAUUAACAAAGCAUUAUUUGUUCCUGGGGUUUUUUACUCUCCCUUUUUGUUUAAUAAGCAUCUCUUGUAAGGUAUAAUUGGCUCUUUCUAUAACUGCUUGUCCUGUGGUAUUAUGUGAUAUUCCAGUAAUCUCGUUUAUAUUGUAAUAUGCAAAGAAUUGCUUCAUCUUAUUGGAUACACAUGGGGGAGAAUUGUCAGGUUGAAUUAUACAGGUAUCCCCAUAAUUGCCCUUAUUUCGAAUAAUGUGUAACUACACAGUCAGUCUUUUCAGAAC